rnacentral:rRNA from 1 species
UACGAAGGGGGCUAGCGUUGCUCGGAAUCACUGGGCGUAAAGCGCACGUAGGCGGGUUGCUAAGUCAGGGGUGAAAUCCUGGAGCUCAACUCCAGAACUGCCUUUGAUACUGAAGAUCUUGAGUUCGGGAGAGGUGAGUGGAACUGCGAGUGUAGAGGUGAAAUUCGUAGAUAUUCGCAAGAACACCAGUGGCGAAGGCGGCUCACUGGCCCGAUACUGACGCUGAGGCACGAAAGCGUGGGGAGCAAACAGG